rnacentral:rRNA from 1 species
UACAGAGGGUGCAAGCGUUAAUCGGAGUUACUGGGCGUAAAGGGCGCGUAGGCGGUGUGUCAAGUCAGGCGUGAAAGCCCCGGGCUCAACCUGGGAACAGCGCUUGAGACUGGCACGCUCGAGUUCGGGAGAGGAUGGUGGAAUUCCCAGUGUAGAGGUGAAAUUCGUAGAUAUUGGGAAGAACACCGAUGGCGAAGGCAGCCAUCUGGACCGACACUGACGCUGAGGCGCGAAAGCGUGGGGAGCAAACAGG